AUUAGUCUAAUGUUAAAUCUAAAAUUAAUUGUUCACAGUUAGAUCAGCAAAUGUGGUAACCUGCAAAGAUUUGCGCCGGCUCUAUUGAAACUAAAAUUACAUAAAUCCUAGAGCUGGUCGCGCAAAACUUAAUCCUAGAACCGAUCGAACCCGGUAAAAUACAGGAAACUUACAAACGUAAGUAAAGCCCAAAAUGUAAUCUAAAACAUAACCUAAACAUAUAAAUGUACUUAUUCUAGGAAAAUUUUAUUCGCUGCACCAGUCAGCGUGCUAAUAAACGAAUUAAGAUUUCGGAAAGUGUUUCCAUCGUUGCAUCU